rnacentral:lncRNA from 10 species
CUCAUGGUCUCUUUAAAGCCAGCAGCCUCACAUCUUCACAUCUCUCUUCACUUUGGUUGUCACAUCCCCUGUGACAAUGUCCCGUAUAUAGACCCCUGUAAUUAUGUAUAAAUCUAUAGAGAUUUUCUGCUUCUCACUUUUUAUAGAAAGCAGUUACUGCAUCCAGAUUUGGGUAAAAUCCAGAACCAGCUGCUGUAAAUAAGGUCAUAAAGGAAGAAAGGUAAAUCAAUGACUUCAGGAUGUCAGGGCAAACAGGAUAGUGGAUAGGAUCUCUCACAGGUAAAAGGAGGCAGUAGAGUGUUAGUUCAUUGAAUGGACUUUGUUUAGAACCAGGUGGUUGAAAUUGUGUCCCCAUCACUUACUAGCCUUGUAUUUUAAACAAGUGACUUAACUCUUUUUACCUCAGUCUCCUUUUCUGUAAAAUAGUAUCUACUUUGCAGGAUUCUUUAAGGAUGAAUUGAAUUAAUAAAUGCAAAGUGUUUCCACAACACCUAGCAUGUAAUAAAUAAUUCUUAGUUAUUGCAAUGACAUUUCACUUAUUGGAUUCUGCUGAUGAUACAUUCAUGAUAAUCUCCAGACAAUAUUGAUCUCUUCUUUUCUCUGAGCUCUGGCAAUGUGUAAAACUUUAAUCAAACAGUUUAAUUUGGAUUUUCUUUUAUUGUUAGUUUAUAUUUCAUCUGUCUCUCUAUCU